CCUAUAAGUUGUCUGGUAGUGGUAUAUAAUUUCUUAAUUUGUGCAUAAGAAAAAUAAAAUAUUAUGAGUUGCAUGGCAACAAUAACUCGUACAAUGGUUGUUAAGUUGUCUCGUAGUCCUACAAUUUAGCUCAUGAGGUGGUUGUUUCGCGAAGCAAGGACCUCUUUCUCUCUCCUCGCUCUCUCUCCUCCACAUCAUCAAAAAUCCUACAU
rnacentral:lncRNA from 1 species